AGUGAACGCUGGCGGUAGGCCUAACACAUGCAAGUCGAACGGCAGCACAGUAAGAGCUUGCUCUUACGGGUGGCGAGUGGCGGACGGGUGAGGAAUACAUCGGAAUCUACUUUUUCGGGGGGGAUAACGUAGGGAAACUUACGCUAAUACCGCAUACGACCUACGGGUGAAAGCAGGGGAUCUUCGGACCUUGCGCGAUUCAAUGAGCCGAUGUCGGAUUAGCUAGUUGGCGGGGUAAAGGCCCACCAAGGCGACGAUCCGUAGCUGGUCUGAGAGGAUGAUCAGCCACACUGGAACUGAGACACGGUCCAGACUCCUACGGGAGGCAGCAGUGGGGAAUAUUGGACAAUGGGCGAAAGCCUGAUCCAGCCAUACCGCGUGGGUGAAGAAGGCCUUCGGGUUGUAAAGCCCUUUUGUUGGGAAAGAAAAGCAGCAGGUUAAUACCCCGCUGUUCUGACGGUACCCAAAGAAUAAGCACCGGCUAACUUCGUG
rnacentral:rRNA from 1 species